GUGUGGGUGGCUCAGUGGUAGAAUUCUCACCUGCCACGUGAGAGGCCACAGUUUGAUUCCUGGCCCAUGCA
rfam:Equus caballus chromosome 7, whole genome shotgun sequence.